CAGUAGCCGCGGGAAUACGGAGGGUGCAAGCGUUAAUCGGAAUUACUGGGCGUAAAGCGCACGCAGGCGGUCUGACAAGUUAGAUGUGAAAUCCCCGGGCUUAACCUGGGAACUGCAUUUGAAACUGUCAGGCUGGAGUCUUGUAGAGGGGGGUGGAAUUCCAGGUGUAGCGGUGAAAUGCGUAGAGAUCUGGAGGAAUACCGGUGGCGAAGGCGGCCCCCUGGACAAAGACUGACGCUCAGGUGCGAAAGCGUGGGGAGCAAACAGGAUUAGAUACCCGUGUAGUCCCUGUCUCUUAUAA
rnacentral:rRNA from 1 species